rnacentral:lncRNA from 1 species
GCUGGGAUUGUUUGUGCCCCAUGCCCACUCUAUACAGUGCUGUGAUGUCAUUCUGCCAACAGAUAUACAUUCCCAGCCGUCUCACUGAGUGACAGAAACAUUGUUCUGGUUUCUUUCAUUUCUUUAUCUGUGAUUUCCUCUAUCCCUUCAAGGACUUCAGAAGUAGUUGAUUUCAAGUUUUUUUUUUCUUCUUUUUCUUUUGUUUUUUUUUAAUUAGGUAUUUAUUUCAUUUACAUUUCCAAUGCUAUCCCAAAAGUCCCCCACCCGCUCCCCCACCCACCCACUCCCACUUCUUGGCCCUGGCGUUCCCCUGUACUGAGGCAGAUAAAGUUUGCACAACCAAUGGGCCUCUCUUUCCACUGAUGACCUUCUAGGCCAUCUUCUGAUACAUAUGCAGCUAGAGACACGAGCUCUGGGGGGUACUGGGUAGUUCAUAUUGUUGUUCCACCUAUAAGGUUGCAGAUCCCUUUAGCUCCUUGGGUACUUUCUCUAGCUCCUCCAUUGGGGGACCUGUGAUCCAUCCAAUAGCUGACUUGUGUUUGCUAGGCCCCGGUGAUUUCAAGUUUUUGUUUGGGAAACCCAAAGCCCCCGUCCUGUGCUUCCUUGGGUACUUUAUUUUAUGUAAAUGGAGUAUUUUACUGUUUCUUUAUAUGUUUCACGUAUUUUCACUGAAACCAGGUCUCGUCUAAUUUUAUUAUGUAGAUAGAAAGAGAAGAAGGUUCCCAGGGCAAGGUGGUCCAAGGAGAUGAGGAGACAGGAAAGGAAAAGUCAAGAGAGACAUUCUCUAGGCCUUUGCAGAGUCUGUGUGCUAGAUUACCCACAUCUAUAGAGUUUAUUAACAACUCUAGCUUAGCCUCGCUCUCUGCCUCUGCUAACCCUGAAGACCUACUAGAGAUGCCAGUCUAUGGCCUCCUAUAGAGGGUGUGCAUCGUGUAGUAUACACUCAAGUGCAGGGGGAGGAGGGUAUUUCAAGGAUGUAUUUUCCAGGAGCUGGAGAGAUGGCUCAGCAAUUAAGAGCCCUGGCUGUUCUUCCAGAGUUCCCAGGUUUGAUUCUUAGCACCUUCAUGGUGACUAACAAUUGUCUAUUACUCCAAUUCCAGGGCCUCCACCUUUCCUUCUGGCCAUGGACACUGCACACACAUGAUGCACAGACAUACAUGCAGACAAGACCCUUAUACACAUAAAACAAAAAUAAAAAGGUUGAAAAGGAGCGUAUGUUCCAAGCUUCUUGCUCCUCAUCUUUUCUUCCCGUGUUGUUGGUGGUGGUGGGUUUUUUGUUUUGUUUUGGUUUUGGUUUUGUUGUUGUUGUGUUGUUUUGGUUUAGUUUAGUUGUGUGUGUGUGUCUGUGUGUGUACUUGAGAGUGUGUUUGAGAAUUAUUUGUCUCAGCUAUGAUCUUUUCCCCCAAGUAACAAUGGCUUCUUCUCUUAGCUUACAAUGUUUUCUAGGAACACCACAUGGCUAGCUGUUCUCCUUCUCUGGAAGGACUUUGAGUCAGGUGAGACUAAGGCAGUCGCCAUGUAAAGUGACCCCAGUGUGUAACCUUCCCCUGACAAGUGGAAGCGGGAGGAUUAGGGGUUUCAGGUCAUUUUCAGCUACAUAGUGAGUUAAAGGCAGGCUUAGACUACAUGAUGUCCUGUUGAGACAUAACCAUAACGAUGCACUCUGGAGCCAGAGGCAGGCAGAUCUCUGUGAGUUAGAGACCAGCCUAGUCUACAGAGGGAGUCCCAAGCCAGCCAGAGCUACACAGUGAGGCACUAUCUCAAAAAGCAAUUGAACCAACGGGACUGUCAGAUGGCUCAGUGGGUAAAGGUACACUGCUAAGAUGUGACUAGAAGCAGAUCCCAGUGGCCCUCACAGAGGAUAGGGGUCAACUUGUGACUCACAUGCAUGCCCAACUGGAGAUGCCCACAAACUAAAUAAUGGAAGGGAGGGAGGACUAGGAAGAUGACUCAGCAGUUUCGAGCAAGCACUGCUGUUGGAGAAGAACCAAAUUCAGUUCCCAGCACCGGUACUGGACUGGGUGGCUAACAACUGCCUGUAACUCCCUGUAACUCCAUCUCCAGGGGGACUGGAUAACCUUGUGCUCUGUAGGCACCAGCACUCAUUUAUAUAUAUAUACAUACACAUAAUUAGAUAAACAAAUU